rnacentral:tRNA from 1 species
GCGGGCAUGGCGAAAUCGGUAGACGCAUCAGACUUAAAAUCUGAAGCCAGCAAUGGCGUGCCGGUUCAAGUCCGGCUGCCCGCACCA